ACCUGCGGAGGAUCAUUAUAGAAUAAACUUGGUUGGGUUGCUGCUGGCUCUCAGGAGCAUGUGCACGCUCACUCCAUUUUUUACCACCCGUGCACACACUGUAGACCUGAAUGACGUUUUCGAGGAAACUCGGUUUGAGAACUGCUGUGAAAAUCGGCUGUUUUUGCAAUUUUCAGGUCUAUGUUUUCAAACAUAUACUCCAUGACAAGUAACAGAAUGUUAAUCCAUAGGCCUUCUGUGCCCUUUAAAUAUAAUACAACUUUCAACAACGGAUCUCUUGGCUCUCGCAUCGAUGAAGAACGCAGCGAAAUGCGAUAAGUAAUGUGAAUUGCAGAAUUCAGUGAAUCAUCGAAUCUUUGAACGCACCUUGCGCUCCUUGGUAUUCCGAGGAGCAUGCCUGUUUGAGUGUCAUGAAAUUCUCAACCUCUCUGGCUUUUAAAGCUGGUCAGGCUUGGAUUGGUGGGAGUUGCUGGUUUUCUUGCAGAUCCAGCUCUUCUUAAAAGCAUUAGCAAAAAUUCUUGCUGAAUAUCUUUGAUAUGAUAAAUUAUCUAUAUCAUUGAGAUGCAGCUUUUCCACUUUGGCGGAUCAGGCUCUGCUUGGAUUAUAUCCAAGUGUUCGAUUCAACCGCUCUGAAGCACCAGCUUAGGCACAGAUGUUAAUUCAUCUGAUGGUGUUGAAUACUUCAGGUUGACGAAGCGAGGCGUUCUUUGGAGCGCUCACGAGAGCAAGCACUGUAAUCAUUCCUUUGAUGUUGUGCACUGUCAUAUUCCUGUACCUACCCUAGCUACUAUGUGGCUUUGAUGGGUCUGGUCAAACCAUGACCUGAACAUAUCCUUAGUGGAAGGAUCUUGCUUCUAAUAAUUUGUUCCCUUAGGAACGAAAAAAAUCUUGACAAUUGACCUCAAAUCAGG
rnacentral:rRNA from 1 species